GGUGGAACAAAGAUGAACCCAGUGUUCUGGGAGGCGCAGACUCCUACUGAGCCCCAUGUCCUGAGUAGCAGAAGCAGUGUAUGUGCCUAGAUUUGGUAAAAAAACAAAACAAAACACAUACCCUAAAGUUUACCGUCUUAACCAUCUCCAAGUGUACAGUUCAGUAACGUCAAAUAUAGUCACGUUAUUGUGCAACCAAUCUCCGGAAUGUUCUCCUUUUGCAAAACUGACAUUCCGUUUCCAUGAAAUAAGUCGCCUUCGCCCUGGCCCCAGCCGACAGCCACCAUUCCCUUUCUGUCUCGUACACCGGAUUAUUCUAGGAACUCCGUGGGAGCAGCUUCAUACAGAUUUACCUCUUAGCGACCGGCGGCCUUCGCUCAGCAUGAUAUCCUCAGGGCUCCUCCACGAGGUAGCACAUUUCAGAUCGUCCCUCCUUGUUCUGGCCGAGCCCUCUCCCGCUGUGUGUUGGUGCGGACGGUGAGCCCAGCGAGCCCGCCGGAGGGUCGGCAGGGAGGAAUGAGCCGUAAGCGGGCCUCGGGCGCUGUGGUGCUGACUCCUCUCCGGCCUGGGUCUUUGGUCAAGAACGUCCCCUGGCCUAUGAAUGCAGCUCACAGCCUUCCAGCCGACCCAGUGCCUUCGUUCCAUGAAGUUCUGCACGAGCCCGUCCUGCUCUAGAAUCCUGGGAAUGGUACAGAUUUGGACACUCUCUUCUUGCUGUAAUACAAAGCUUUUAUUUUUAUUAUUCUUUAAAAAAAAAAAAUGUUUUAAGUAGGCUCCACACCCAGCAGGGAGCCCGUCAUAGGGCUUGAACUCAACGACCUUGAGAUUAAGACCUGAGCUGAGAUCAAGAGUCGGAUGCUUCACGGACUGAGCCACCCAAGCGCCCCAAGCUUUUAUCUUCUGAUAAGAGUUUGGAUGUUCUGUGAAAGCGGAUCGAAGAGGAAACAGAGGCGCCAAGAGGUCACCUGACUUGCCCCAGGGCUGCUGUCGCCUAAAAUGAGGAAUUCCAGAAGGGUGCCAAGCAGAUGGCCAAGCCCUGUCGGCGAGGGCACAAAGAAGUAGACCACAGCGGGCUUCCGGAAGCUUCCAACCUAUCUGGGGUGACAAGACACGCUCUGAAGGCAGAGAACCCUCACGGGCACAGUUCCGCAUGCCGAUGAAGCCGUGGAGAGAGCCGCGAUCCAUCAGCUGGUUUCCUCCCCGGAACUUGUGCCCCCAAAUUCCUUUUUUGAGGGAAGGUGGGAUGAAUUUCUGGGUAUCCUUUUCUCGGCCUCUAGUCAUCAAACUGAUUGGAAAAAACGGAAAAAUGAUCUUUCUAAAGUUGCAACAUUCUCUUUUUCCUCUGAGUGCCAGAGGUAGGCUCAAAAAUGUUAAGCAAAGACGCUCUUGCUCUCGAGAGCUCUGGAAAAUGGGGUUUUCUUGCUCCCACCCCAGGCGUGUUUCUCACGCCUCUUCUGCCCCAUCCUCUGCAGACACCGAGGGACAGAGCUGGACAGCAGAGGGACAGGAAGCGUUCUCAGCCGCCAGUCCUGGGACCAGCCCCCAGACAAUGGGGUCAGAGCCGCAGGACAGAACCUGUGUUCAGAGUUCUCGACGGAGCACGGAUGCCAGUCAGCAGAACGGGCAGACGUCUCUCCGACGGGCAGGUGGCCAGCAGAGCGUCCCUCCGAUGUCUGCCGGUCAGCCUGGCCGUGUGAGCCUCUCCAGCUCUUCAGCCCAUCGUCCCUCCGGGGCAGGGGCAGGUAAGUGCUGCUGACGUCGCCUGCAGGAGCCUGCACGUGCCCAUCCCAGACAUCACGCUCCUGCUGCUGUGUCCCCACAUGGCACUGGUCCUGGGCUCUCCUUCCUGCUGCGGCUGUGUCCCUGGGUUCCCAGGCUUUUAGCACUUUUGCAGUCGUCUAGAGGCAGGCGGCUGAGGGUGGAUGCCCCCGUAUCGCGCCUCGCCCCUUCCCUGAAUCUGCUCCUUGCAGGGGCGUCCGUGCCCCAGCACGUGGUUGGGGAUGAAUGGGUAUCCCGUACACCGUGAUCAUGCGUGAUUCUGGAUCUAUCCUCGGACGUGAGUGCAGCGAUGGGAAAUGUCACAGCCUCACACUGCCUUUAAAUAUGCUCAUCACUUCAGAGUCAAUGGGAAUUUGAAUUCCAAGAGCUCGUUCUUUCUCUUUCCAGGAAGAUAAAAACAACAACAACAGCAACAACAUACAGAUGUAGUAACAUCUGGUUUUCUGGGAUGCCCGGCUCAGUCAUGCAGGACACGAACGCUGCUGCUGUACCCACUGUCCCUUUCUUUUUUGGGGAAGAGUGUAAUGUAGGAAAUGAAACACUGGUUUUGAAUUUCUGCCUCUGUGCUGGGCCUGAGUACACAGAUGGUCCCUAUAAUAAUAAUAAUAAUAAUAAUAAUAAUAAUAAUAAUGAAAAAACGAGGUUUUGCUGAUAACAGUAUGUCAACAUUAUACACAAAAUAUUUUGGUUCUAUAUCAAAAUGAGCCUAGCUUUCAUGAAACCAACUCGCAGACACUUUCCCCACUUGAGUUUGAAGGGGUAAGUGAAAUUACCCAGAACAGAAUGACAUCAUCUCAAGCCUCUAGAAUAGAAUAUGGAGGGAGAAGCCAAGGGAGGGGGCUGUGCCCUCAUCCUGGAAUGGAGUGGAAGGAGCCGGGGAAGUCAGAAGCCUGAGGUUCCAUCCAAGCUCUGCCGCUCUGAUGGCAAAUCCUGGAUGAGACCACGAGUCUCUCCGAGCCUCACCAUUCUCUUCUUUAAAAUGGGAGCAGCUGGGACGCCUGGGUGGCUCAGUCGGUUAAGCGGCUGCCUUCGGCUCAGGUCAUGAUCCCAGAGUCCUGGGAUCGAGUCCCACAUUGGGCUCCUUGCUCCUCGGGGAGCCGGCAUCUCCCUUUGCCUCUGCCUGCCUCUCUGUCUGCUUGUACUCUCUCUGUCUCUCUGACAAAUAAAUAAAAUCUUAAAAAAAGAAAAAAAAAUAAUAAAAAAAUAAAAUGGGAGCAGCCAUCACUACAUAGCUCAUCACCGGAGUUCAGUGCGCCGGCGCAUGGGAAUGUGCCGAGCUCGGAGAAGACUCUCUACAGACAGGUGCUGAGUUUGAAGAGAGAGGCUCACAGUGGCGGGUUGCACCAACUCAAAGCUCCAGAGAGUUACAGAGGAGAGUGAGAGAGAGAGAGAGAGAAGGAGAGAGAGAGGGAAAGAAAGAAAGGGAGCAAGUGAUCCAGAAAAACCCCAAGAGAGAGAUUUCCUCGAAAAGAAAUAUUUUGCACAGAAAUAAGACCACUUCAAAUGGCACCAGAAAUAAUGGUCCACAUUUAUUGAACUCUUACGAAAUGCCAGCCCCGUGCAUUUGCCUGGAGAAGAAUCCCCGGUCUCCUCCUGGGGUGGGUAUACUCCUGGCUGCACGGGAAAACUUGGGAAUAAAAGAGAAAUCUUUUAUUUUCAACCUGAGCACCAAUGCAUUAUACCAUUCAAUGUUCAAAACGACCCUAGUUAGGUCGACUAACUAACAAAACGACUCCACAAUGAAAUGCUUCCCAUAUAUAUUCUCACUUUUUUCCUGGAUUCUCAUGAUUGUCUUUUAGGUCACAGUUAAAAGUGAAGGGACAGGGACACCUGUCCUGAUGACCCCAUCUGGCAUUGUCCCCUACAGCCAUACCGGAUUUCUGCUGACCUUGCCACUGGCUCACCAAAGGCAUUUCUGAAAUUUGAAAACAAUGAUUCUUCCUAUUUGAGUAGGGUUUCCUUCUAUUUAUCAAAUGCUUUUCUGUAAAAAGUUUCGUGUAUAUAACCUUGAACAGUUUUUCCCUUUGCAAAUGAGGACCCUGAGCCCCACAGAGGUUAAACGACUUGUUAAAAGUCAUCAAGUGGUAUCAGUCCAGAAUCCUGAGGAACCUGGUGCCCCCACCUCCUUCCAUUGGGUUCUAGUCACUACUAUUGCAUCACAAGCCACCCCAAAAAGAGUCAUCAACAAGCCCCCGGUGUUACGGCCAGAGAUCCCGUGGGUCCGGAAUGUGGGAAAGUCAUAGCAGGAAGGACUGUUCCUGUCCCAUGUUGUCUGGGGCCCCAGCUGGGGAGACUGGAGGGCUGGGGUGAUGUGAUAGCGGGCGGGUCGAAUUAUCUGAAAGCUCAUCACUUGUCUUGUGGAGGAGGCCAGCAAGGGCUGUUGGUCAGGGCAUCUACAGGUGGGCUUCAGCAUGUGGCUCCUUGGGCUUCCGCACAGCGUGGUGGCCGGGCUCCAAGAGUGGGUGUCCCAAACAUGAGCUGAGCAGAAGUCCUGCCAUCUUCAUGACCUCGCCUAGGGAGUCCCAUAACCAUCCCGUCCACCAUAGCCACAGUCCUGCCCAGAUUCAGGAAGAGAAAAGAGCUCUCUGAUCUGUGGGAAGAACGUCCAAGUCCCAGGGGGAUGUUACCGAGUCUGUCUUUAUAAAACACAGGUGGCCACACGCUCUAAGACCCCCUAUUGAGGGAAGUGGGCUUGCUGCCGUCAGCGGGGUGGGGGGUGCUGCUUUGGAAGAGUUAUCUAGGAGGAAGAGGGCAGCCACUGUCCUGGGGGCCUUCCCCACACUUGCUAUCUUCAGAGGAAGGACUACUUGGGGGCCAAGGACCCUUGCUCAGUGUCCAGGGCGUGGUUCCUCUUCUGCUUCCUGAAUGGGGCUCCUGAGUGGUACUGCAGCAGGCAGCAGGCGUUUCUGGGCUAAAAUGUGUCCUUUCUGCCUAAUUCCACAGAAGAUUGGAGGUGGCUUUCCAUAGAGCAUGCACAUGCAUGCCCCCCCCCCCCCACCACAGAAGAUCAGAAACCAAAUACACAUGCAGAGCAUAAAAUACCGCAGCUCAUGUUAAAAUCACACUUACUGUCCUAAAUUCAUGCUUGCGGCUCUCAAACACUGGGUGAAAGCUCUGAGCUCUCUGGUCGUCAGGACAGAAGGGCCAGGCCUGCCGGUGAGGUCAGAGGGGCUCCCCACCCCCCGACCCCAUCCUCUCUCCCCUCUUGUCUUUCCAAGCAUUGCACUCGGCUGUCCGCCCCAGCUUUCCAGUGGCCUUAAAAUCUUCUUACUUUUUAAAAAGAUGAUCAUGGCCUGUGUUCGUGACAUUUCAGAAGAAGAAAGUAAAUCGGAGAGGCCCAGCUGGAGCCAUUGUCAUGCUGUGGUUGAAGGCUCCGAAAAACGCAGAACAUUCCUCAUUGUCUUACGGCUCGCACUGGCCCCCCUCCCAGACUCCAGGCCAGGGCACUUGAGCAAAAACGCUGCCCACCUCCCACCCUCCAAGAACAAGCCGGAAAUCAGCAGAAAAAUUAAGAUGUGAAAAACGAGUCUGACGUCUCAAAGGCAAAGGGGAGAAAACAAAAGAUCACCUUCUCUUUCUCUUUUCCCUUCUAGGGAAAGGUGAAUUCUUUGAGUGACUUCUUUGUUUCAUGCUGAGCUAACUAAUGUGUCUUAAUUAUACUAGUCUUUUUUCCUUGCAGAAUAAAUUCUCUUUAUGAUUUGAUGGGGUCCAUUUCAGCAAAUGCACAAAAGUGAUACAUUCUGAGUCCGAAGAAAUUAGCCAUGAAAUGAGUAUUGUCAGAAUAUCAGUGGUUGUCUAUUGGGUGUUUUGCGGGGGAGGGAGGACCUAUUUAUUUAUUAAUUAUUGAUUUGAAGACGGAAGUCCUAUGGGUUCAGUUCUGAGGUCUGAGUUUAGGGGAGAACCAGGAGCCUGGGGUUCCCUUGCAGGUGCGUGGCCUCAGACACAGGUGCUUCUAGACCCUGUGUUCCUUGUCUUUACGCCAGGCCGUUCCCAAGGGUAAACAGGGUAGUGUUCAAAAAGCAGAGCACAGGUCCUGGUGCAGAGUGGAAUGCUCCAUGAAUUGUAAUCACUAUUCUGUCCAUAGACAAAUCUGAUUACAUCACCCUUCUGCUUAAAAUGCUUCGCGGACCCCCUUUCCCAACAUUGUAACUUGACCUUCACCGCACUGCCGGAACCUGAAUUACCUCUCCAGAACCAUCCUUGAGUUCCUUCCUCAAGCCUCGGUGAAUGUCUUCCAAAUUCUAGAAUGUUCUGGGCCCGUUUUCUCUUUAAGGACAGAACAGCCUCUGCUGUUUCCCCUAAGCUUCUCUUCCCUCCUCUCUCGCUCCAUCUCAGGUGUGUGAUUCCUCCAGCCCCAAAUCUGGGUGAGUCUGUGGCCAGUGCUCUCUGCCCCAGGGUCUUGUCCGUCCCUUGUAACCGCACCAGUCAGACAACUUCGUGACCCUGUCUGUUGUGUGUCGGUGGUGGUGGUGGUGGACAGAGUCCUCAGACUGACUUUGGAAUCUGGUAAGUAAUGUGAGAACGCGUCUCCCUCUCUGGGGUAGAAAAGUGAAUUGCCCUGGACAAAGAUGGUGCUUUUAUUCUGAAGAGAAAUUGCUCAAGAGGCUUGUUCCUUACAUAAACAUAAAGUUAAGACCCUCUUCCCAUUUGCUCUUGGCGAAAACUGAACGAGCCAUUAACCCGAAUGCAGAUGUUUUAUUUGGAAAAGUUCUUCUGCUUGGAAUUGUAAACGGCAGGGUAUGUUUCAGCUAGAGCUGUGUUUUAAGAAGCCGGUGCAUUAUCCAUUCGUCCGUUGAAGGGCAUCUUGGUUCUUUCCACAGUUUGGCGACCGUGGCCAUUGCUGCUAUAAACAUUGGGGUACAGAUGGCCCUUCUUUUCAUGACAUCUGUAUCUUUGGGGUAAAUAAUAUACACUAUGGAGUAUUAUGGCUCCAUCAGAAAGGACGAAUACCCAACUUUUGUAGCAACAUGGACGGGACUGGAAGAGAUUAUGCUGAGUGAAAUAAGUCAACAGAAAGAGUCAAUUACCAAAUGGUUUCACUUAUGUGUGGAGCAUAAGAAAUAGCAUGGAGGACAUGGGGAGUUAGAGAGGAGAAGGGAGUUGAGGGAAAUUGGAAGGGGAGGUGAACCAUGAGAGACUGUGGACUCUGAAAAACAAUCUGAGGGGUUUGAAGGGGGUGGGAGGUCGGGGUACCAGGUGGUGGGAUUAUAGAGGGCAUGGAUUGCAUGGAGCACUGGGUGUGGUGCAAAAAUAAUGAAUACUGUUAUGCUGAAAAUAAAAAAUAAAUUUAGAAAAAAAAAAAAGAAGCUGGUGCAUUUUUCUCACAUCACAUCUCAUGGUGUUUCUUGCCUCUGUUUGAGUGUGGGAUGGACGUUGGUGCAAGACUUUCUUGACCUGGGGGACGUGAAUGUUCUUAUUCACAGUAGUUUUUGGCAGACCAUCAAGGCUGAGAUACUAAGGGUCACAGAGAGACAGGCAGGCAUUACCCCGUCUGCUGCUGGGGAAG